rnacentral:lncRNA from 1 species
AUGGAAAGGUCCUGACCCAGUGAUUGUCUGGAAUUGGGGUUCUGUUUGUGUGUUUCCACAGGGAGAACAGCAGCCGAUUUGGAUUCCAGAGAGACUAACCAAAGCGAUUUCUACAGACCAAAAAGAAGAUGAUUUGACUCAAAUCCAUAACAGCUGAUAUCCAGAGCUCCAGCUUGGCUAUUCUUACAUCUGCGACAGUGAUUAACCAGGAUGCUUUUUUCAAUAUCUAUUUUAUUAUUGCCUUUUCCCACAUCAUAAAGUUCUAUUUUAUUUUUUGAGCUCAUACAGACCUAGGUUAAUGUUUUUCUGAUCAGUUUUAUUUUUUGACUGUGGAGUUUUUAAACAUUGCAAUGGAGAUUUCACCUGUGUAAAGCUACAAGGCCUUUACUAUUGUCUUAUGUGUUGUACAUUUGUGUGCACACUUGUGUUUUUUGUUGUAUGUCUGUAUGUGCAUAUGUCCAUAUAUCAUAUAUGAGGAGCGUUCAUGAAAAAAUGGAUCCGAAUUGUUUUUUAUUCACGUGAUUUUAAUGGUUUAAUUUAAAUUGGGUAAACAGCUGUUGGGGAUUGUUUUAAUAUGUGUACAAAUAAGGAGGUUAACAGAUCUGUUUGUUUACUUUCACCUUUCCUUUUCAUUAUAUUUAAUAAUUCUGUUCAGGACAAUGUAAAUUGUUCAGAAAAUUGUUUUCUUAGUACCUGUUGGAAUGUUACAUAUUUUUUUUUAGCCAUCAUUGCCAGAAUUCCUAUUUUCAUCCCAGUGCCAGUGAAGACAAAGAUAAAACCAAACUACAGCUUCUUCGAUAGCUAUCACAGUAAACUGUAUAAACUUAUGCAUCAAUGAAUAAUAACUCAGGAAGUAAUGCUCAAUCAAGGAGUGGAUUUACUUGGGAGGAAAUGGACAUAUUGAUAGAUUCCUCUGCUUUGAACUGCUUGCAGAACUUGCCUGGACUAUGUAUCACUUGUAUACAUUGGGAACUAUCUGUUGGUACAGCGAAUUGUGGUAAUGCUGGAGUAUCUUUGCUGAUGGUGUCACCGGUGGUUUAAUUUUUCAAAGGAGCCGUCAAUUGGCUUAGUGUCGUGGCAUUUCUGUAUCCUCCUCCCUUCUGCUAGUGAUGGUCUAAAAUUUGGGGGCCAACAGAGGUGAGGCAAAGAACCUCACCCCCCCACACACUGGUGCAAAGGCCUAUCCACAAGAAUGGCUGUAUGCUGAACCGGUAGUCAGUGACGGAUAUGAUCCAAUUGCAGUGGUACCAACCUAAGAUAGGAGGCUGACGCCUAGAGGUCAGCUCAUCCGAUGAUGGGUAAGGACCAUAUGUUGUAUUGGACAACCUAACAAGCAGGGUCCCUAAGCCACAUUGCUUGUUGUUUAAUUAAACAGAAGGGGGGAGAUGCUGAGAGCCAUAGCCAAGUAGGAAUGACGCAUGGCAUUUUUGGUUGAAAGGUGAAGCCAGCAAGCCAUUGAGAUGAUAAUGAUUAUGUUAAGAUGUGCAUUCAAUUGGAGAUUAGACCCCUGCUGUCCGCCUCAGACUGCUACUUUGGAGCUCUCCUGGGACUCCUGGAGAGUUCCCAUUGGUUGGGGAAGUGCCGUAGGAGGGAAUUCCGGAGGAGGGAUUUCCUGUUGGUGUAGUGUGUCCCGGGAGAAGGCCGCGUGCGUGGCAUUGGUGGGAGUUUUGGAAAUAAAGUUUGUUCCUGCUUGAGUGGCUCAUGAUUUUGUGCCCAGCCAGACUGUGGCAGUUGGGGUUGUGGCUCAGUGGUAAAGCGCUCACCUAGCAGGCAGGAGGUAUUGAGAUCCAUCCUCAGCACCACUUAAAAUAAAAGUUAUUGUGUCCAUCUACAACUAAAAAAAGAAAAAGAAUGUUUUAAAAAAAGAUGGAGGGGCUGGGAUUGUGGCUCAGCGGUAGAG